UACGUAGGGGGCAAGCGUUGUCCGGAAUCAUUGGGCGUAAAGAGCGUGUAGGCGGUCCGGUAAGUCGGCUGUGAAAGUCCAGGGCUCAACCCUGGGAUGCCGGUCGAUACUGCCGGACUAGAGUUCGGAAGAGGUGAGUGGAAUUCCCGGUGUAGCGGUGAAAUGCGCAGAUAUCGGGAGGAACACCUAUGGCGAAGGCAGCUCGCUGGGACGUUACUGACGCUGAGACGCGAAAGCGUGGGGAGCAAACAGG
rnacentral:rRNA from 1 species